rnacentral:snRNA from 1 species
GGAUGUGAGAGCUUUCUGGCUGUUACAUCUGUCACCCCAUUGAUCACCAGGGUUGAUUCGGCUGAUCUGGCUGGCUAGGCAGGUGACCCCUUCCUCCCUCACAGCUCCAUGUGCAUCCCUCCCGAAGCUGCAUGCUCGACCGAGGACGACCAUCCCCGCUAGAGGACAACUGGUCUUCGGUCAAAGGUAUACGAGUAGCUGCGCUCCCCUGCUAGAACCUCCAAACAAGCUCUCAGGGAAUACCCUGGAAUAAAGGACCAAAGCAUUGUUCAAAGGCUGCAGAGGAACUCCCAAAAUGUAAGAUGAAAUCAGCUCUCAGUCCUAGGGUGCUUAGUGGCU